GGAAUAUUGGGCAAUGGAGGAAACUCUGACCCAGCAAUGCCGCGUGAAUGAAGAAGGUCUUCGGAUUGUAAAGUUCUUUAGUCAGGGAAGAAAAAAAUGACGGUACCUGAUUAAGAAGCCCCGGCUAACUACGUUCCAGCAGCCGCGGUAAUACGUAGGGGGCAAGCGUUAUCCGGAUUUACUGGGUGUAAAGGGAGCGUAGACGGCAGCACAAGUCUGGAGUGAAAUGCCGGGGCUUAACCCCGGAACUGCUUUGGAAGCUGUGCAGCUAGAGUGCAGGAGAGGUAAGUGGAAUUCCUAGUGUAGCGGUGAAAUGCGUAGAUAUUAGGAGGAACACCAGUGGCGAAGGCGGCUUACUGGACUGUAACUGACGUUGAGGCUCGAAAGCGUGGGGAGCAAACAG
rnacentral:rRNA from 1 species